rnacentral:rRNA from 1 species
UACGUAGGGUGCAAGCGUUAAUCGGAAUUACUGGGCGUAAAGCGUGCGCAGGCGGUUAUGUAAGACAGAUGUGAAAUGCCCGGGCUUAACCUGGGAACUGCAUUUGUGACUGCAUGGCUAGAGUUUGGCAGAGGGGGGUAGAAUUCCACGUGUAGCAGUGAAAUGCGUAGAGAUGUGGAGGAACACCGAUGGCGAAGGCAGCCCCCUGGGUCAAGACUGACGCUCAUGCACGAAAGCGUGGGGAGCAAACAGG